CCAAGUCCUGUCUUGUGGUUUGGGGGCGCCUCUCCGCCUGUGAAAAGAAACAGACACACACACACGAGAGAAAAACAAGACAUUUAAAAUGGUCAAAUUGAAGAGGAAGAAAACGUGUAAUGCUACUGAAAAAAAAUAAUCUCGCAUCCGACAAGCAACAGAACAUUGAAAAUACUCCAUCCGUGCGGUUUUACUAGGAUUUGAAAUGGUGCUGUGAGUCCUGCUGAUUGUACCCCAGUUAUAGUGCGGUAUAAUUGACGGGGUACAGGUGUACAAAGUGCCGUGUGUGUUGAAACGCACCCCCCAACCCCCCGAAAAUAUCUAAACAAUUCAUUGCCUGUCCUUAAUUACAUACCCUCAGAAAAAAAAAAAAAAACUUCAAAGACACAAGUUUGUGUUUAUUUAUUUAUUAGACAGAGCGAAACCAAGAAGUCCCCAUCGAGAUGAAACGUGCAUUUGAAGGAGGUCCCGGAGACUGAAGGAAAGGCUGCAAUAACACAACAGCGACAUGAAGCACAACUGCGCUGAGGUGAUACGGGAAAGUGCUCCUUCUUAUCACGGCUGUCACCUGACCUUUCACCUUCUUUUAAUCGGGGAGCAGCAUCCUGUAACCUUUGACCCCAGAGACAAUGGCUGCUUGACCGUUUCCCAGUGUGCGCAGUCAGUGGGAACAACAGAUACAUGAACACAGCGCCUGGGAAACAAACUGUUUAUUGUGUGGACUGAAUCUCUUACUUUCCUGUCCUCGACUUCCGGACCGUCUGCCUGUGUGGCCUCGCUCCAGGGGGAGGGGAAUGCUAUGUCCUGCCCAAGCUCUCAAAGACCCAGGAUGUGGAGCUCAGCACAAUGACAUCCCGCUAACUCUCUUCAGUAAAUGGCAGUUCCCAUGAGCAAUGGCUAUUCUUUUAAGUAAGUGUGGCAUUUACCACAAGUUGAUAUUACUUCAAAGCAAUUAUUUUGAAUUGGGAGCUCCUCUCUGUAGUCUUUUAUCUCUAACCACUAGACCACGCUGCCUCCCUCCCUCCCAGUCUCUCAGCUCUAACAACUAGAGCCACACUGCAUCUCUCGAUCCCAGUCCCUCAGCUCUAACCACUAGAGCCACACUGCCUCCCUCCCUCCUAAUCCCUUAGCUCUAAACACUAGAGCCACAAUGCCUCCCUCCCUCCUAGUCCCCCAGCUCUAACCACUAGAGCCAAACUGCUUCCCUCCCUCCCAGUCCCUCAGCUCUAACCACUAGAGCCACACUGCUUCCCUCCCUCCCAGUCCCUCAUCUCUAACCAAUCAGCUGGUGACUGGCUGUCCCAAUCGCAUUGACAAUGGAUAAUGGCUGUGCUGAUGUACUCCUCAGAUGGGCAACAGACUCCUUUGUUGUGCCAAUAAGGUGUUAACGGUAACCCUAAUGGCCAUCUCUGAUUAACAGCCUGAGGGGAAGCUGCUGGGAGGGGGGGGGGGGGGGGUGGUGUGCUCCGUGGCGCCCCAUGCUGGGCAGCUCCAGGAUUAUAGAGAUUGAUUUAAAGAUGUAGAGACUAGGGUUUUAAAACCAUUUCCCUACCCUGACUACCCCCCAAUAUUCUUGCCACCCUAAAACCCCCUCUUCCCCUUGUAUUGUCUCCAGCAGGGGUAAUGAGGGUAUCAUCACAUCUAAUGUAGUUAAUGUAGGUCAUCAAGAACUUCAAGCAUGAAGCAGAAAUGAUUCGGGAAAACUAAGUCAAGUAGAGAAAUGUUUCGCUCUAUAACUUGAAGCACUCAAGAUUGAGAUCAGUACUAAUGUUAACAAGAGACUUUUCAAAGACGAUGAUGGAAACAGUGUUGUGUGAUUAUGUGCUUACCAGUGUGUUGCAGUAUAAUGAGUACUGAAACCAAACACAUUUCUUUAAGUUGAUAUGUACAGUUGGUAUAACAGCGUCUCGUUGAGUGGGUAAGAGGACUGCCAAGCGAAGCUGAGAAACCAGACGACCCUCCUGUGCUGUAGGAAACAGGGUCAGCAUGCAUGUUAACUUGCUCAAGACUCGAAUGAAAUUGCCCUCAGCCUAUCCUUAAUGGCUGCUGGUCUCCACCUCCCAUCAAAGCACCACACGAUUUGGCACAGCACAGUCUGUGCUGGAGAGAGGACUGAAUGGAAGGGAGGCAGGCAGGGGGUGUUCAGGUCAGGAUUGAUCUCCACCUCUCCCUCUCCAGCUCCAUCUCUCUCAGGGCUGUGUGGGGAGUCUCUAGCCCCCCCCCCCCCCCCCCCC